UACAUACUAGCUCAGUGGUAGAGCGUUUGCCGAAUAAGCAAAAGGUCACAGGUUCAAAUCCUGCGUGCGAAC
rnacentral:tRNA from 1 species